rnacentral:tRNA from 1 species
GAGGGUAUAGCUCAAGUGGUAGAGUGCAUGAUUAGCAUGCAUGAGGUCCUGGGUUCAAUCCCCAGUGCCUCCU